rnacentral:lncRNA from 1 species
AGUCUUUUUGGGAGACUGUAAGGAACCAUAUGUACAAUAUAUACUUGCUAAAUGAGUUAAUUAUGACAGGUACAUUUGCUGAUGCUUACUGAGACUCUCUUACCUGCUCUUUGCUCCUCUUACUCCAUUGACCUCUUAAUCAUCAAGGUAUUAUAUUGGUACAGUGUUCUACUUUUUACAUCCUCUCUCCAUUCUGGUCUGUGAUUUUUAGGCAUAAACGAUGUGUAUCGCAAUGCA